rnacentral:rRNA from 1 species
AUGUUUAUGAUUCAGAAGGUAAAGAUAAGAUGUACCUUUGCGAGAUUGUCUCUCUUUGUUGUUAACGUCUGGUUUUCGUAUUUUUGGCGAAGCUGUCUUCGAUAUUUUAUCCUUGCACCCAGAAAAACUUUCUAUCCCAUAAAACUUCUUACUCUUCACUGGGGAAUCAGAAGUUUCUUUCCUGACUGCUCUCACUGUAGAACGAGACAGCUUCAGUGGACUCAAUUUUGCUUCCCUGAAGGAGGUGAUGGAGAUGGAGCAUGCUUAUUUGUAGCAGGUUUGGCAGAUGAAUCCAUCGUGCUAGCUGGUGAUGGUGCUUUGAUUUUCUUCACCCUUGGAAGAGUUGAUGUGACAGUGGAGUUGAGUUUCCUCUCCUUGUUGAACUUGUUAGGAACGCUAGGAUCUGCCUUUUUCGCCGUUGUCCUUGGUCCAUCGCCGCUUCCAGCUGAUGUACCUGCAGCCUUCUCAUGUGAUGUUAUUUCGCUCUUGUGCUUUGACAUGGUGUUUCUGGUUAUAGUCGACCUUGCUUUCCUGUUUGGUUUCACAGACUCCUGGGAGAAGCUCUGUGGUUUAGUCACGUCCCUAUCUUGUUUGUGGUUCUCUGAUGCCAUCACAGUCUGCUUACUCAUGUUCUCUGAACUUACAGAGUCAUUUGCAGAAUGA